GUGAGGAAUAUUGGUCAAUGGACGGAAGUCUGAACCAGUCAAGUAGCGUGCAGGAUGACGGCCCUAUGGGUUGUAAACUGCUUUUAUGCGGGGGUAAAGUGAGUGACGUGUCAUUCAUUGCAAGUACCGCAAGAAUAAGGACCGGCUAAUUCCGUGCCAGCAGCCGCGGUAAUACGGAAGGUCCUGGUGUUAUCCGGAUUUAUUGGGUUUAAAGGGAGCGUAGGCCGUCAGGCAAGCGUGUUGUGAAAUGUCGUGGCUCAACCAUGGACUUGCAGCGCGAACUGCCCGACUUGAGUGCGCAGAAAGCAGGCGGAAUUUGUGGUGUAGCGGUGAAAUGCUUAGAUAUCACGAAGAACCCCGAUUGCGAAGGCAGCCUGCUGUAGCGCUACUGACGCUGAAGCUCGAAAGUGCGGGUAUCAAACAGGAUUAGAUACCCGGGUAGUCC
rnacentral:rRNA from 1 species